rnacentral:rRNA from 1 species
AGCGAACGCUGGCGGCAGGCCUAAUACAUGCAAGUCGAGCGGUCCCUUCGGGGGCAGCGGCGGACGGGUGAGUAACGCGUGGGAACGUGCCCUUUGGUACGGAACAACUGAGGGAAACUUCAGCUAAUACCGUAUGUGCCCUUCGGGGGAAAGAUUUAUCGCCAUUGGAGCGGCCCGCGUUAGAUUAGCUAGUUGGUAGGGUAAAGGCCUACCAAGGCGACGAUCUAUAGCUGGUCUGAGAGGAUGAUCAGCCACACUGGGACUGAGACACGGCCCAGACUCCUACGGGAGGCAGCAGUAGGGAAUCUUGCACAAUGGACGAAAGUCUGAUGCAGCAACGCCGCGUGGAGGAUGACACAUUUCGGUGCGUAAACUCCUUUUAUAUGAGAAGAUAAUGACGGUAUUAUAUGAAUAAGCACCGGCUAACUCCGUG